UCAAGUGAAGAUUGUAAAGAAUAAGCUUGCUCCCCCAUUUAAAACUUUCCAAUUUGAACUUGAGUUUGGAAAGGGAAUAUGCCGGGAAUCAGAGAUCAUAGAUUUGGGAGUAAAACACAAAUUCCUUGGCAAGGCUGGUUCAUUUUACAAUUAUAAUGGUCAGAAUUUCCAUGGGAGGGAAGCCCUUAGACGGUUUCUGGCUGAAAAUGAUGUUGCACGGGAAGAACUUGUGAUAAAGCUCAGGCAAGAGCUACUUGAUUUCGGCUCAAGUAAGGAAGAGGGAACAGAAGCUACUUGUGGAGAACCUAUAGAAGAAAUCAUAUCACCCGACUCUACUGAUGAAGAAGCAGUUACUGCAGUAGAAGCGUAGUGUGCAAAACUGCAAAUACAUCAAAUUUUAGAUUGAGGUUAUCCUGCUAGAUUCAAUUCAGAUUUCCAAGGGAUCCUGUAAUCCUGCAGUCCCCAUUUCCUGCUUAUUAAUAUGAAAGGCCAUUGCUUUCUAAUCACAAGCUAUCAUUGCUUAUAUAUUCAUAUGGGCUAGAGCGUACAAAUGAUAGCUUUGCAAGUUAAAUGUGUUUAAGUUGAUAGUGUAAAUUUUCGGGCAGAGCAGGUUAAUUUUUGUGGCUUCCAAAAGAAGUAACUCCAAGCAGGCCAGGCACAAAAUUUCUUUAGAUAUCCAACUCUAUUAUACAUGUGAACCAGAACAACUUAAGCACAAUGUAAUUUGUUGCUACCUCUGCAUUAUUUUCUGUAUCGAGGGCACUAUGGCAUAGCGGUAUUUAUGUUUUAGGCAGAAGGCAGUCACAUUUUAUGAUCAUGAAAGCCAUCUAUAUCACCAGAAUAUUUAUUUGAUUAUUGAAUCGAUAACAAAAAGCAGGCUCAAUGGAACUCGUAUUGAAA
rnacentral:misc_RNA from 1 species